CAUCCACACCACACCCGGAUCCCACUCCCAGAGCCGCCGCCGCGCAUUCCCCAACCAGCAGGCACCCCAUCUUCGUCCAUGCCGCACCAGUAUCCCCCAAUCCAGCGUUGGUGCCCCAUUCGCCGACCAUGACACCGUCCCAUCCCCUCCUUAUCACCCUAAACGCCGUCCCGAUCCCCAACAACGACACCUCCCCAUCCCACUCGCCACCCCCGUCACCUGCUUUGCCUCGCACUACAGCACAGCGUGAUUAAGAUCUAAUUGAUUGUCUGUUCGUGCUACCAGGAUUGUCCUCUGCCACAUGUUCGUUAACUGAAGCAGCAGCAACAACAACAAUCUCAGAUUCGCACAUAGAGGCUGCCACUAAGCUUUGUUCUCCAUUCGUGCUUGGUCUUUACAGGCUAAUCGGCAUAAACUCAACUUUAAAGACAAGUUUUAAGGUCUUGGUUGGCAAGUGAAGAAGGUAUCAAGCUGCAGCCAUCAGUAACUGAACAAGUGCCAACUGCAUCUUUUGGUUGGCAACGUUGCUACAAGGCUGGUCUACUCACCUUGUGAAACCAUUUGCUUCACUCGUUCUGGAGUUUGUUUGUGAAGUUACGCAGAAGCAACCAUCACAGCCGGUAGCAGUCCCCACAUCUAGAAGGUCACCGGUGUAAUUCUCUUGCAUCCACAACUUUAAAUAGUUGUGUUUUGUGAGCUGGAAGGAUCUUCUGCUGGGAUCUGUUUGUAGCUGAAACCAGAUGUUGUAUUUUGCGCUUUUCUCUAUUAUGCAAUAUUGGACCUAUUGACCUACAUAUGUAUGCCUCUGUGCGCAUGGGAAUAGUGAAUUACAUGAAGGAUGUUGUGCUGUAAUACUGGGCUUGUGAACCUACAUAUGCUUGUAACCAUGAUGGAUCCUUGAGAUAUACAUAUAUAU